GACGAACGCUGGCGGCGUGCUUAACACAUGCAAGUCGAACGAGACCCACCUUUCGGGGUGGUGUUCUAGUGGCGAACGGGUGAGUAACACGUGGGCAACCUGCCCUCAGCUCUGGGAUAACUCCAAGAAAUUGGGGCUAAUACCGGAUAUGACUGCUGACCGCAUGGUCUGGUGGUGGAAAGAUUUAUCGGCUGGGGAUGGGCCCGCGGCCUAUCAGCUAGUUGGUGCGGGUAAUGGCCCACCAAGGCGACGACGGGUAGCUGGUCUGAGAGGAUGGCCAGCCACAUUGGGACUGACGAGACGGCCCAGACUCCUACGGGAGGCAGCAGUGGGGAAUAUUGCGCAAUGGCCGUAAGGCUGACGCAGCGACGCCGCGUGUGGGAGGACGCCUUUCGGGUGUAAC
rnacentral:rRNA from 1 species